GUUUGCAGGAGAUGGUCCAGCUGCACGGAAUUCCUUGAACAUAUCUGUCCCAUUAGGAUUUCAGGAUUCAAAACUGAUUUGAAGUCCUUCUUCACAUGCAAGGCAGCAUAAGGGCUUCCUCUAUAGUGCUGUCUUUUUCAGCUGUGCCAACUCAGUAAUGUACGUGGCAUCUUCCUGAUUCAUACCAGCUGGAUCACGGACAUAAACGUUCAUCACAUCCACAAGACUUGGCCCCCACGUGGGUUCUUGGAUCACCCCGUUACACAGCCAGCGCAAGCCACUCUCAGUGUUCUUAGUCUACGGUUUCAGAGUCCCAUAAUUCUAGCUUCCGAAAGUGACUAAUCGAAAAGCUCUCCAGGUUACUCUGUGGAGGGUGGAUUAGCUGGGUGUACAAUGUAGGUGACCAAGUUAUCCCUGGGAAAUCUCUUCAAGAGAAGUUUGAGAGAAAACUUCAAACUUUGGAGGCUCUUGCUGAUGUAAAACGGUCAUAUUAGGAGAGAAGAAGAAAGAAGUGGUGAAGAAGGGAGCAGAUAGGUAGAAGGAGAAGAGAUGGAAAUGAAAAAGGGUUGUUGGAGGCGGAGGUGGAGGCAGAAAGAUGGAACAGUUGGUGAUGGUGCUGAUGAAGACAACAAGAAGGAAGAGGAGUAGGAUUGAAAGGAAAAAAAAAACUGACUUCCUUACUAUCUCAAUCCAAACCUUUCCAAAUGCCUAAGGCAUGCAGUAGGUAUUGCCUGAGAUCUUUGAUAGGCUGGAUGAGGAAAUAUUAGCCUCCCCCCAAGCCUGUCUCCAGGCAACCGGCUACUGGCCGAGCAGGCGCCCUCCUCUUCAUUCUUAUCUCGUGACCCUUUUCCAACUACCUACAGGACUUUUUUCUUCUGGAUAGCCUGAUAUUUUCAAACUUAGAAUGUGUCCUAAACCAGGGGAACCAUCUUUUCUCAGGAACCUACUCCAAUUUAGGAAUUAUUUUUGUUUCCCUCGGGGAUACUGACAUUACUCCGAAUCCCAAAAGGAGGAAAUUGCCCCAAACUGUGACGCAGUCUGGUUUGAGUAUUUUAUUGAAAACGUUUCUUUGAGGCGUCCAAAAGGCAGAGAGAGAGGGUACACAUAGAGAUUGAACGUCUAGGGUGAGAAAACCACUAGAAAGAAAACUGGAAGGCUGAGGAAACUUUUGUGGCGAUGUAGAAAAACAGGUCCAAUGAAUCUACCACUUUAGGAAAGUAGAAAGUUUGCUCAUGUUCUUGCUGGUUUGGACAACAUGUGGACGCUAAAGAAGAGAUUCGACGAACUAUGUUUGAAACAAGAGGAUUUCAAAGCACACAGGAGCACUGUCCAGGAAGACAUUUUGAUAUGCACCACAUCAUGAAAGAAGAUAUAUAUCGCAUAUACAAAAAAGCAUCAUGGAUGAAAUAAAGUGAAAAAUGCUUUGCUUCUA